rnacentral:rRNA from 1 species
GAUGAACGCUGGCGGCGUGCCUAAUACAUGCAAGUCGAGCGAACGGACGAGAAGCUUGCUUCUCUGCUGUUAGCGGCGGACGGGUGAGUAACACGUGGAUAACCUACCUCUAAGACUGGGAUAACUUCGGGAAACCGGAGCUAAUACCGGAUAAUAUUUUGAACCGCAUGGUUCAAAAGUGAAAGACGGUCUUGCUGUCACUUAUAGAUGGAUCCGCGCUGCAUUAGCUAGUUGGUAAGGUAACGGCUUACCAAGGCAACGAUGCAUAGCCGACCUGAGAGGGUGAUCGGCCACACUGGAACUGAGACACGGUCCAGACUCCUACGGGAGGCAGCAGUAGGGAAUCUUCCGCAAUGGGCGAAAGCCUGACGGAGCAACGCCGCGUGAGUGAUGAAGGUCUUCGGAUCGUAAAACUCUGUUAUUAGGGAAGAACAUAUGUGUAAGUAACUGUGCACAUCUUGACGGUACCUAAUCAGAAAGCCACGGCUAACUACGUG